rnacentral:misc_RNA from 1 species
GAUGAAGAACGCAGCGAAAUGCGAUAAGUAAUGUGAAUUGCAGAAUUCAGUGAAUCAUCGAAUCUUUGAACGCACAUUGCGCCCGCCAGUAUUCUGGCGGGCAUGCCUGUCCGAGCGUCAUUUCAACCCUCGAACCCCUCCGGGGGGUCGGCGUUGGGGAUCGGCACUUACCUGCCGGCCCCGAAAUACAGUGGCGGUCUCGCCGCAGCCUCUCCUGCGCAGUAGUUUGCACACUCGCACCGGGAGCGCGGCGCGUCCACGGCCGUAAAACAACCCAAACUUCUGAAAUGUUGACCUCGGAUUAGGUAGGAAUACCCGCUGAACUUAAGCAUAUCAAUAAGCGGAGGA